AUUGAACGCUGGCGGCAUGCCUUACACAUGCAAGUCGAACGGUAACGGGCCUUCGGGUGCCGACGAGUGGCGAACGGGUGAGUAAUACAUCGGAACAUAUCCAGUAGCGGGGGAUAACCUAUCGAAAGAUUGGCUAAUACCGCAUACGAUCUACGGAUGAAAGCGGGGGACCGCAAGGCCUCGCACUAUUGGAGUGGCCGAUGUCAGAUUAGCUAGUUGGUGGGGUAAAAAGCCUACCAAGGCGACGAUCUGUAGCUGGUCUGAGAGGACGAUCAGCCACACUGGAACUGAGACACGGUCCAGACUCCUACGGGAGGCAGCAGUGGGGAAUUUUGGACAAUGGGCGCAAGCCUGAUCCAGCCAUGCCCGCGUGAGUGAAGAAGGCCUUC
rnacentral:rRNA from 1 species